rnacentral:rRNA from 1 species
CGAGUUUGAUCCUGGCUCAGGAUGAACGCUGGCGGCGUGCCUAACACAUGCAAGUCGAACGAACCUAAUCUUCGGAAAGGGUUAGUGGCGCACGGGUGAGUAACACGUAGGUGACCUGCCCUGGAGUGGGGGAUAACUUCUCGAAAGAGAGGCUAAUACCGCAUAUGCUCGGCCAUUCAGUUGGUCGAGUAAAGCUCCGGCGCUCCAGGAGGGGCCUGCGUCCGAUUAGCUAGUUGGUGGGGUAAUGGCUCACCAAGGCUAUGAUCGGUAGCUGGUCUGAGAGGACGAUCAGCCACACUGGCACUGACACACGGGCCAGACUCCUACGGGAGGCAGCAGUGAGGAAUAUUGGUCAAUGGGCGAAAGCCUGAACCAGCAACGCCGCGUGAGGGAUGAAGGCCUUCGGUCGUAAACCUCUUUCUGGGAGAAGAGACAAGGACGGUAUCCCACGGAAUAAGUACUCGGCUAACUAACGUG